GGCAUAUGUUUUGGCCAGAGAAUUCUUAUUUGAGCGCCAUUUAUCUGUAUUCUCUCAAUUCUCAUUCAAUUCAUAUACCGCCUCCCAAUUCUUUCAUUCGACUUUCAGACUCUACUUUGAUUAUAUAUGGAAAGUUGAAAAAAAUCAUCUGAUAGAUCUGCGUAUAAUCCAUCUGCUUCAAAGUUAGAUACUCCAUAUUUCUGAUAAAGGGUUUCAUAACAAUCGAUCUGUUUACAACUACAUCAAGGUUUUCAUCAACAGACACAUGACCAAUCCAGGUCGAUUCUCUUCGAUCCAGCCUCAUUAUCGGAGCAAAAGGUUUGAUUUUUUGUUAGCAAUCGACUUGAAGAGAAGUUCAUCUGCAAUGGAUGUAGAUCUUCUGAUGUGUAGAAGCCACAUUGAAGGAGUGUAUGCAGCUGCUGCAUUUUGUUCAUGAAGAAUGGGAAAAAAGAUUCACGAUUACGUGAUGAAAACAUCACAAGAAUAUGAAAAACAAGAAUUGUUAUAUGGUUGAAAAUCAGUUUUAUGAGCUAUGUGAAGCUGUGUGACUGAAACCUACCAACUAUGUUUGUCCUAUAUAUCUUAAUGUUCUUAUUUUUGAAAGUCAAUUGCUAAAUAAGAUCAUUCAGUAAUCUUUUUAUCUUCAUUAGUUAUUAGUUUUUAUACUAAUAUGAUUUUGAUUGCACCACAAAAUAGGACAUAUAUGGUUCUUGCAUACAUGAGGAUGCUUCGUGACGAUAAUGCAGAAGUACACACUACGACAUCUGCUAAGCUCAUCAAAUUAUCUUAGUGUUUAUGCCUGUGUAUUAUCUGAUCUGAAUUGCGAUUAAGCUUUUAAAAUACAUGAAUAUAAAAAUCUGUUAUUUAAAUUGAAUGUGUUUACAUAUGGUUAAAGGAAUCAAGUAGAUUCGUCCCCAAAUUUUGCAUCUCCUCAUUCGUCCAAGAAGCUUCGUUGCUUUAGUUUGACUUCUUCGGUUAGGGACUGAAUCUCAGAGGACACCAGUAAAGGCGGUACCUCCAUGUUCCUUUUCUAAACAGAUUGGUGGCGGUCAUGGCUGUAACACUAAAUGCAGUAGUAGAAAUUGCGAAGGAGAAUUACUUGGCAAGUGAUGUAUUUGAUUUAUCUAUUAAGUAGAUCUAAGAAUCUUCAGUUACCUAAAUAUGUAACGGUUCUUUCUAUAUCGGAUGCUAAAUAUGCACCGUGGUAUGCAUCUCUAUAUGAUUACAACGCUCACGCAUUCCAACCAAAACAAUCUGUCAACGGACGGAGUUGUAGGGUGAUUGCAUUUGUUAUGGCUCUUCUAGAUUCUUCAACAACAUAUAGGUUACUAUUGUUGUCUAAAUCCAAAGUGAGGUUGUAGAGACUUUCAGUGCAAAGAGGGCAACAAAAAGUCCAGCUAUGCUGUUGGAUCUUCUAUUCAAGCAAUUAAUAGGGUAUAUGCAAUAUGGGAUGUCACUGAUAGAAUUACAAUCGUUUCCACGAGGGAAAUGUAGGUUUGAAGUUCAACGAGGUGUCAUCGGUAAAUCCAGUGGUUGUUGCUCCAGUUUUGAAUUGGCCAAGGUCCAUCCUCCACAAUAAACACUAAACACUGAAGCCAGACCCGAACUAAUGUGUAUGUUUAAGUGGCAGUGCAUAAUCCAGGUACCUGAGCAAAUAAAUAUUAUAUUGAGAAACAUGCAUACUAUUAUAGCGCAUUUGCAUUUUAUCGAGUCAAUUCAUUUAAAAUGUUUAUUAAGUGGAAGUGAGACACGUCAAGUGGUUAGAACGGGUCAAAAGUUAUCCAAAGUGUGUUUUUAUAGCAUAAGGCGCCUAAUGCUGGACUUUGUUUAGCUUUAAACUCAUUUGACCCGUCCUCUUCUAUCAAUUUUUCUUAUAUUGACCCGUUUAAGGUAACACAUCACCCAAAUCAACCCAUUCAUAAGUAAAAGGGUUGAGAUGACCACAUGUAAUAGCUCUAAUAUUUUAUUUUAGGAUCAUAAAAUAUAAAUUUUUAUAUGGUAUGAUUUAAAUAUUUUAUUUUCUAACAUAGGUUGAAAUAAAUCAUACACAGUUAUAUAUAUUCAUGUAGAAUAGGCAUAACUAUAUUCAAUACAUCUCAUGCUUAAAUGUCUACACUUUGCCUCAAACAUGUAAAUAUAUAAGUUAGCUAAUGCAAGGGGUAUCCAAGCAAUUAUAAUUGAUUCACUUAUCAAUGGGUUCACUUACGUUUUAUUUUCUUUUUAAUGGGUCAAACGGGUAAAUACAUAAUUCGCUAAAAAGGAAAUGUUUGUUCUAAUAAAAGGGUUAGUGUUAGGGCUAAACAGGUUAGCGCCAUAAGCAAGCCAACACAGUUAGCAUGUUUGGUUAUUAUUGUUUGGGUUUUGUAGUUUUAAUUAUUAGGGUAUAUGGGGUGGGUGCGGGGAAUGAUGCAGUGAAUGAGUUUACCGCUAGGGAACACCGCCGCCGACACCCAUAUCACCCACGCGAGUUGGAUUUCGGUGAUUAAUCACCGCACAAGGGGAGAUGAGGGAAAAAGAGAGAGAGAGAGGUGCAUAGUGGGCCCUACUCUCUUCCAACCAAUCACACAUUUUUCCUCUUUUUUAAAAAAUGGUUUGUGUGAACCACCCUUGUGAUUUAAGGGCAAGAGGGGAGUUGACACAACAAGAAACCAUUGUAUGGGUGGAGACUUUACCUCUCUCCAAGAGGUAACCACCCCUUACACCCUUAUGUUAUCCAUUUAUAUUAUAGUUCUUGAUUUAUGAUCUUUUUAAUUCAAUAAGAAGUCUUUUCUUAAUAGACAAUAUUAGGGUUCAAGUAUUCAGCUCACGGAUUAUAUUAGAAUGACAAUAAAGAUAAACAAAAAAUUAAGUAAAAAAUAAUGAAUUGUCCUAAAGAUAAAGAUCUUUAUGAGUUUUUUUGGUUAAUGAACUGGAACAAUGUUUUAAAAUCUGGUAUAUCGUACCAGAUUUGGCUUAGAAACGUUGGGCGUAUCGGACGGUUCAAUCGGGUGUAUGGGGCGAUUUAACCAGUUCAACUGGUACAACUGGCCGGUUUGAACCGGUUUUAAAAACAUUGAAUUGGAAUAUACCAUCUGGUCAAAUCCAGGGAGCUGAAAACUCUCUUCUACAGUUUCCACAAAUAUGGUAGGAUUUGUUCAUUUUUAAUAACUGUAACAAACAACUCUAUUUUGGAGUUCAAGAAUAUGGGUGUUUACUGUAACAAACAACUCUAUUUUGGAGUUCAAGAAUAUGGGUGUUUACUGUUAUUCGAUUUUUGAUUGGAUUAUAUGUGAAGGUAUUGUGGUUGAAUUUUUAAAAAUGGGGACCCAUUAAAGAAACAUGGGUCCUCUAAUUAAAUGAAAGUGUUUGAUAUUCUGGGGGUUAAUGCAGGUUCAAUAGACAACAUUAGAUCGCUUGCAGCAACAAGUUGUUUAACGUUGUGGGAUCUUGGGAGAUUUGGUAGUUUGGAGGCACUCCUGGCGUACUGUAUUCUUAUAAUUGGCACAAAGAUAACUAUGUUAUAUUGUUAUGGAACAAAACAUCAACUCUAGAACAUCAUUAUUGAAAGUCACCUUAUUAUUGACCUUCAAAAUAGUUAUUUAUUAUUUUCUUUCAUCGGAUAAUGUGCCUCACAUUAUUUUAAGAAAGGAAUUUUGAUACUUUGACUGCUUAGUCAAAUGUGCUAAUGUUAGUGAUAGUAGCUACAAGAUAGUGGUAACGAAAGAACUUGGUAAAGGUUGCAUAUUGCUAUAAGAUAGUAGUCAACGAAAGAAUGCGAGAUUAGUGGUUACGAAGCUUUAAAAAGCAAAAGUAUUAGAUUAAUAGGUUUUCUAUUGAUAUUUCGAACUGCAGAAACGUAAUUUCAUCACUUAUUAAUCUUUUCGUUUUAUUUAUAUAAAUAAUACAUUGGUUGUUUUAUUUACUUUAUGAACCUGAGAGUUCUAAAAUAAUUUCGUUCUGAUCAUCAUAAACACCUCGAAAACAUAUUAUUUUUUCCAAACCGCGAAGUUCGCGGGUAUUAGCACUAGUAUGUCUUUGGCCAGAGAAUUCUUAUUUGAGCGCCAUUUAUCUAUAUUCUCUCAAUUCUCAUUCAAUUCAUAUACCGCCUCCCAAUUCCUUCAUUCGACUUUCAGACUCUACUUUGAUUAUAUAUGGAAAGUUGAAAAAAAUCAUCAAUUAGUGGAAGAUCUUUUGCGAAAAUAUGGAAGCGUUUCCAAUUUUACCGCCUAUAUACAGUUUAUGGCUUUUAAUCGGAGGAUUCAAGGACCAUUCGAGUCGCCUGUUUUGUUUUAUCUUGAUCAUCCAUCGAAACUGAAGCAUCUGUAUGGAUUGUGGCUUUCUGGUUCAUACGACGGAUCCGUAUAAAUCUGAAUUGGUCAGGAACCCUGUUUUAUUUGCUAAAUUGUGGUUUCCCCCUAUUUUGAAUCCUUAUUUGAUUUAACCCUGUUCUGAUACAAAGAAAGCAAUUGAGUUGGACUGCUUGAAUCCAAAGGCAUAUCUGCGCAAUUUGACCUUUUUAUAACUUUUUUUUUGUUGUCAGUUGUGUGUCUGAUGAUGAUGAUCCAUAUCUCUUUUAUUUCACUUUUUGUUUGUUCGCAAGAAACUCCAUCGCACACAUGUCUAUGACAUAAAGAUGAUCCAGUGAGACUGAACCUUCUGGUGUUGGUUAGCCAUCGUACGCUACGGCGAUGCUACAUACUCCGACGCGUGAACUAUAUAAGGUUGCAAAUUGGAGAACAAGGACACCUUUGGUGGUGUCGGUUUGGUUAAAGGAUGGGCGGUGGUGUUGAUAUCGGUGAGAGCAGCCGUCAACUCGAGCGACUAUAGCGUGCGAUGAAGGGCUUUAAUGGUGUGGUGGUCUUAAAUCAGAGCAGCCAUGAUCUACAGAUAACCGAUUUUUUAUAUGUAAUAUACUGAGUUUAAAAGAUUUGCGAUUUAUAGAUAACCGGUGAAACAAUUGGUAAAGUGAAAGCGGUGGCAGAAUGCACGAAAGAAAAGCUGAGAUGGCUCGCCAAGCUGGCUCCUUUAUUGGUCUUUCAGGCGGUUAUGGCACUAUUGAAGAAAUAUUGGAACAUGGGCUAAGCUAAAAAUCCAUCAUAAACUGGUAAAAGACACACCCAUUUUAAUUCUAAUAUUCACUUGGAAACACUUUCAAGGCAGAUGGCCACAUGCAUAUCAUCUGCUGCUGAAGCACUUGAACCAUUUAUUUUAUGAGUCGAUACAUUUGGAAUCCAGAAGAUGAAAAAGUUUAUUGUUUAUGGAGGUAGUGACUUUAAUGACAUGUCCAAUAUAGACAUCACAUUUUGCGGUAGUUCAUAUGGCAAUAUGCAAGACGAAGAGCUUUUUUUUUGCCUCGUGUUGCGGUGCUACAUCAUGUCUUGGGCCAUUGGCAUCUUGCAACAUCAAAGACAAAGACAUGUGAGCCUAAAUAUAAGUUUGGUUUAAAAAUCAUGAGGCGCUCCAAGGAGAUUAGGCCCUGAAAGCUGAGAUGCGAAGCGCUAGGCGCGAGGCGAGAGCGUCACAUAGGGUUGAUGAUUGGCUUCAAGAGAAGGUCGACAAGUUAUAGGCCAUAAUCAUUCAUAUGGUGUACCACUGCCACACUCAACUAGGUUGAUUGGUUGAAGCAUUUUAUGGUCAUUCACAAGUGGUUUAGGUUUUUGAUGGAUUACUAGGACCUUACUGGAAAGCAAUAGGAGUGGCAUUUAACUGUACUUUUUUUUCUAUUUGGAUCUGUGAUACCACAUUUAGCUUGUGCAAGGGUGCCCACUGAUAAAUAGAGAUUGGUAAGGGCUCAUGGGACUGUUGUUGGGCUUCCCAUGGGGGAUGACACGACUAACAGUGAAGUUUGCUGAGCAAGGGAGGAGCUGGUAAAUGGAGUUAGAGCAACGAGACGAGCAGUAGGUGGGUUAGGCAAAGGUAAUCGGCAUACCCUUUGCCGAUCACGGAGUCCACUGCUCAAGAAAAUAUGCAGCACGGCAAAGAUGAUGGAGGGUUCUUUUCGGGGAACGCUUGCCGCUUGCGGCAAAGAAGAGGGAAGUGGUGGGGCCUAUAGUUAUAUCAACCAAUCAUCCGUUUUUUUUUUAAAUUAGGUUGCCUAAUCUCAGUUUAGGCAUGCAUCCCUUAUGUUUUUUGGGCACUAGGCAAAAAUGAUAGGCAAAAUACAUGGCACAACAUGAUUGGGUGGGGGGAACUUCGUCUAAUCCCUUUAGGCAUGCAUCCCUUACACCCUAAGGACUUUGCUAUGUAAAAAAAAAAGCUAAAAAUUGUUUAUUUAUAUAAAUUUGUGAUAUGAUGUAUUCAAUUAGUU